rnacentral:rRNA from 1 species
UCCUACGGGAGGCAGCAGUAGGGAAUUUUGCGCAAUGGGGGAAACCCUGACGCAGCAACGCCGCGUGAACGAUGACGCUUUUCGGAGUGUAAAGUUCUGUCAGUGGGGACGAAAUUUGACGGUACCCACAGAGGAAGCACCGGCUAACUCCGUGCCAGCAGCCGCGGUAAUACGGGGGGUGCAAGCGUUGUCCGGAAUCAUUGGGCGUAAAGAGUUCGUAGGUGGUAUGUUAAGUCUGGUGUUAAAGCCCGAAGCUCAACUUCGGUUCGGCACUGGAUACUGGCAAACUUGAAUGCGGUAGAGGUAAAGGGAAUUCCUGGUGUAGCGGUGAAAUGCGUAGAUAUCAGGAGGAACAUCGGUGGCGUAAGCGCUUUACUGGGCCGUAAUUGACACUGAGGAACGAAAGCCAGGGUAGCAAAUGGGAUUAGAUACCCCAGUAGUCCUGGCCGUAAACGAUGGAUACUAGGUGUUGCGGGUAUCGACCCCUGCAGUGCCGUAGCUAACGCGAUAAGUAUCCCGCCUGGGGAGUACGCACGCAAGUGUGAAACUCAAAGGAAUUGACGGGGACCCGCACAAGCGGUGGAACAUGUGGUUUAAUUCGAAGCAACGCGAAGAACCUUACCAGGGCUUGACAUCUAACAGACCUCUGCGAAAGUAGAGGGUGCUCUUCGGAGAAUGUUAAGACAGGUGGUGCACGGUUGUCGUCAGCUCGUGUCGUGAGAUGUUGGGUUAAGUCCCGCAACGAGCGCAACCCUCGUCGUUAGUUGCACGUAUCGGUAAUACUGAUACGGUGCUCUCUAGCGAGACUGCCGGUGAUAAAACGGAAGGAAGGUGAGGACGAAAGUCAAAUCUCAUGGCCCCUUAAGCUUCGGGCUACCACCCGUGUUACCAAGGGGUUGAA